rnacentral:SRP_RNA from 1 species
CGGCAAGUUCUACACAACUAGCUCCCUUUGAAUCCCCCAGGGCAGGAAUGCAGCAAGGGUAUUAGGUUGUAGCAGUGUGAUGUAGGUAGCUUGCCUUUU